rnacentral:rRNA from 1 species
GACGUAGGGCGCGAGCGUUGUCCGGAUUUAUUGGGCGUAAAGAGCUCGUAGGCGGCUUGUCGCGUCGACUGUGAAAACCCGUGGCUCAACCAUGUGGUCUGCAGUCGAUACGGGCAGGCUAGAAUUCGGUAGGGGAGACUGGAAUUCCUGGUGUAGCGGUGAAAUGCGCAGAUAUCAGGAGGAACACCCGGUGGCGAAAGCGGCUCACUGGACCACAACUGACGCUGGAGGCGCGAAAGCUAGGGAGCAAACAGG